rnacentral:rRNA from 1 species
ACUCCUUUUAUAUGGGAAGAUAAUGACGGUACCAUAUGAAUAAGCACCGGGCUAACUCCGUGCCAGCAGCCCGCGGUAAUACGGAGGGUGCAAGCGUUACUCGGAAUCACUGGGCGUAAAGCGCAUGCAGGCGGUCUAAUGAGUUGGAAGUGAAAGCCUAUGGCUCAACCAUAGAACUGCUUCCAAAACUGUUAGACUAGAGUCUGGGAGGGGAAGAUGGAAUUAGUAGUGUAGGGGUAAAAUCCGUAGAGAUUACUAGGAAUACCAAAAGCGAAGGCGAUCUUCUGGAACAGUACUGACGCUGAGAUGCGAAAGCGUGGGGAGCAAACAGGAUUAGAUACCCUGGUAGUCCACGCAGUAAACGAUGAAUGUUAGUCGUUGGUAUCCUAGAGAUAUCAGUGAUGCAGUUAACACAUUAAACAUUCCGCCUGGGGAGUACGGUCGCAAGAUUAAAACUCAAAGGAAUAGACGGGGACCCGCACAAGUGGUGGAGCAUGUGGUUUAAUUCGAAGAUACGCGAAGAACCUUACCUAGCCUUGACAUAUUUUGGAAUUCACCAGAGAUGGAGAAGUGCCUUCGGGAGCCAAUAUACAGGUGCUGCACGGCUGUCGUCAGCUCGUGUCGUGAGAUGUUGGGUUAAGUCCCGCAACGAGCGCAACCCUCGUCACUAGUUACUAACGAUUCGGUCGAGGACUCUAGUGAGACUGCCUUCGUAAGGAGGAGGAAGGUGAGGACGACGUCAAGUCAUCAUGGCCCUUACGGCUAGGGCAACACACGUGCUACAAUGGUUAGGACAAUGAGAAGCAAUAUCGCGAGGUGGAGCAAAUCUAUAAACCUAAUCUCAGUUCGGAUUGUAGUCUGCAACUCGACUACAUGAAGCUGGAAUCACUAGUAAUCGUAGAUCAGCUAUGCUACGGUGAAUACGUUCCCUGGGUCUUGCACUCCACCGCCCGUCA